UUCUUUUACUACUGAGGGCUGCUCACCUCCUCCCUAUACUGUGUUGCUCAGUGUGGCAGUCUGGGAGCUGACCUUGUCUGUGAAGACUGAGGCCAAAAAAGCAUUGAGUACUUCAGCUUUUUCCACAUCAUCUGUCACUAUGUUGCCUCCCCCAUUCAGUAAGGGUCCCACACUUUCCCUGACCACCUUCUUGUUGCUCAAAGGAUCCAGUUGUCCUCCUAUGAUCUGCUCAAAGCUUAAUCAGCAUGGGCUUGGAGACCCUGUCCUGGUGUGCAGAGGAUUCACAAAUCCUCCUUUGUGGUCACUGCAUGUUUCCCCUGCUCCCAGGGUACCAAAGUUGCUUUUUUGGAAUCCUGGAAAGUGGGGUUUUUUUUAACCGCAACUGCUAAUGGAAGUACAUGAUUUUAAAUAAUUUACAUUUCCAUCUGGUUUGAAAAACACCAGGUGGAGAUUGCAGAUCAGGAUGAGUCCAAAUGGAAGGAAAUCUUAGCUUAAAAUAUUAAAGCUAAAAACAUUUAUGUGAACCACAUUUUUUUUACGGUCCACAGUGGCGACUUCUUAUGUCUUUUCUCCCAUCAUUUUGGUUGUGCAAGGUGUAUGCUUCCCUUCCUUGGCUGUGUUACACGAGUUAUUCAGAAUUAGGAAGGGGGAACUGGGGAGCAGUGGAAAACAAAGAGAUUGUGUGUGGAAUGUUGGAGGAAUUAGGGGUUAGAGGGUUUCUUCAGCAUAUUACUUUGAGAAUUAAAAUGAUCUCCCCUCUGCUUUUCGAGGGAACCAUAUUAAGCCCUUAAAUGCAUGCAUGGGACUCCCUUUAUGAUCAGAGGGAGUCACCUGUGCUCAUCUUAGGGCACCCAUCUGGGUCUGCUGCCUGCCUCCAAUAGGACCCCUGGAUCCAGAUUAGAACUGUGCAUGGGAGAGAUCCCCUCCAUUCUGGUGGCACUGCCACACAGGUGGCGCCUUCCCUCUCCUUGUCAUGUGGCCUUGGGGUAAAACGGCAGAGGAACCAGCCAGAGACUCCAGCUGGUAGGAGCAGAAAGCAGGAACUUUUGAAUAUUCACAGAACUUUCUACAUCUUUGACUGGCCUUUCUCUGCCCUGUGCUGAUUGUCUGUUUGUUCCAACUCUUUCUCUCACCCUCAGUCAUAGUCUCUUCACUUCAGUUUCACUCCACAUCUGCCCCUUUUACUCUCUUCUCUGUUGCCCUCUCCUCCUCACCCCUCCUCUUUCCAUUUAGCUUCACCCCCUUAACUAAUCCCAUCCCCCCCAAAAGGCGUUACUAACGUGUUUGUUUCCAUCAAAUAGUUCACUCUGCUUUUGUGUUGUAGCCUUCCCCCCCCCCCCAUGGUGUGGCUGUCUGUUUAGAUGUAGGGGCAGGGAUCAUCUACCACUCUGUGUUUGUACAGUGCCUAGCACAAUGGGGCUCCAUUUUUUGUUGAUCCUUAGGCACUGCCAUAAUAAACAUGGUUAAUAAUAGGAAUGUAGCUCCUUGAGGUUUUUGGGUUUUUUUUAGUUGAGUUGGGUCAGGACUGAAGGAUUGGACCCUCGCUGGUCAACAUGCUAAACCACUCACCAGCUAUCCUUCCUUCCCACUUCCCUCAAUUCUGAGCCAACUGGCAAACUUUUAUUCUAAAAUGAGUAGAAACAUCAUCAAAGGCUCUGUUUUGUAAAACUUUUUCUGAUAGAUGUUCCUUGUAUCUUAGUGGUCAACACCAUGAUGGACUCCCCCAUUUUCAGCAUACAUUUUGCAAGAGGAGCUAAAUCCUUCAAAUCAAGAAGAAUUUUAUGGUGAGGCUCCACUCUAUUAACUGUUUUCCCAGAGAGAUGUUCAUAUCCCUUCCUGCAGAAUUUUUCCAGAUGAUGAAACUACUGAAGCUGCUCAGUUGAAAAGAAACACAUUUCUUAUACUGCUCACAAAUACAUGGGCUAUAAUAACUGUUCAGUCUGAUUUUCUUACUUUUUUUUUUAAAUAGAGAUUAUGAAGUCUCAUUGUAAGCCAGUAAUCUUACUGGACCAAAUUCAUCCCUGUUGUAAUGCCAUUGAUUCUAAUGUGUUACGUCAGGGUUGAAUUUGCCUCAUUGUAUCAAAAUUCGAAGUUCUACAAAAUGGAAAAGAUGUUAUAUGUUUAGAUUAAAAAUAUUUGAGACAGAGUUAAAGUUGUCUUUUAAUCUUCCAGUAUUAACCCAGUGUGGCCAUUCUUAUGUACUGUGUUCCCCAUUAAUGCUACCAGUCAUCCCCCAGAUAGCUUUUGUGUUUGAUUGACAGAUACCAACUGGCCCAGAGAAAACUGUACAUACUGGUCUGUAAUCUAAAUUUCCCAUGCUAGCUAUGCUAUGGGGACCCAUUCCUCCAGAACAUUGACCAGAGACUGUCUGAAAUUGCCAUUCACGUGUGGUCCACAACCUUCUCCACUAUUCCAUUGGCUUCUGAAAACUUCAUCCUGCCCAAACCAUCCCGCCCAAAUUGGUCAAUCUGCAUACGAGAGAGAGAGUAACUUUUUCCAUGUACCCCUGAAUGGAUAGGCCUCAGACUCUAGUGCUGUACAUUACCUUUCAAAAUGAGCCAAUGAUCCCCAUAUAUGCUGGAUUUUUCAAAAUGGACUAAAGCAGCAAGGUGCACAACAUCUAUUGAAAGUCAAUCAAUAUCCCUUAGAAGGGGUAGAUGCAGAUUGUAUGGUCAUACAAGAGCCUGAAGUAUCAUAAUCUGCAUAUGCAGUAGGAAGGCUUAAGUAUCUAUAAUGUAGCAACUAAUGGGAUUGUCUUUCCAGUAGAUACAGUUUGUCUGAAAGAUACAGUAACUAUAUAAUUGAUCUAUUCUAGGAAAGGGUUGCUUUUUUUUAAUAGGAGAAUGUGACAGAUUCAAAUUGGUUGGAGACUCACCAUGGACUUGCAAAUGGGAAGGACAUAAUCAUCAAAUUAAUUAAACUUUGUUAGAGCUUUCAGUGACAAUGGACAGGCACAAAAUAGCAGAUUUAGUUUACUUGGAUUUAAAAAAGGUUUCCAUACUGUACUGCAUAAGACUAAUGUCUAAGACUAAAAAGUAUAGUAGUAUUAAUGAAAGUUUAGAUAAAGACUGGCUUGGUAAAUAGAGGGUAUGUGCAGGGGGUAGCUACAUACUUACUUAUCAGGUAGGUGAAAACUUGAAUGUUCUAACAAUCUGUGUUGGAUCAUAGUCACACUGUACAUCGAUGGCUUCGAAGAAAGAAUAGUGGUGAAAUGUGCAAAAUUGCCAAUGACACAAAGGUGGAAGGAAUUGCUAAUACCAAAAAGAAUGUGCUUGCAUCUAACCUGGGGCAUGGGCUGAAAGUGGUUCAUGCAAUUUAAUAUAGUUAAAUAAUGAGCAUAUGACUCCCCACUGUAUUUUCCACUGAAUGCAUCCAAUGAAGUGAGCUGUAGCCCACGAAAGCUUAUGCUCAAAUAAAUUUGUUAGUCUCUAAGGUGCCACAAGUACUUCUUUUCUUUUUGCAAAUACAGACUAACAUGGCUGCUACUCUGAAACCGAGCAUACAACUGAAAAUGUCAAAAGGGUUUGUCUUCAAUUGUUACUAGUUGCAAGGCACAGAUCAGAAGAUUUAAAGGACUUCAGUGAGACUCAAGGAUGCUCAACAGCUCACGGACUGGGCCUCAAGAAUUUUUUUUAGCAAUAUCAGAAAAAAAAUGCACUCUACACAAUAUCAUUAAAGGCAUUUAGAUUUCUCUACAGCUUUUCACACUGCUAAUUUUAAUCCAGUAAAUUAUCUGGAAGAAAACAGUAUGCAGCCUAAAAACUGUUCAAAAUUCACUCCAACAUUGAGCACAUUAUGGACGUAAUGAUCCAUUACAACCAAACUUCUAGAAGGUCUUGCAAGAAAACUGAGAAUUAAACAAAGAAAUAUGGAGACUAUCAUCAUUAUUUAUCAGAUAUAUUUAUUAGGUUUUUUUUAACAUACAGUGGAAAACUUUUAAAUAGUUACAUAUAUGGUAAAUAUAUUUCCAAGUGGUUAGUUCUUUGUCAGACAAGUGUUUAAGAAAACUUAUCUGUAUUGAUGUCAUAGCUUGAUGUUCUGAGGAUUUAUCCUUUAACCGGUUUAAUGAAAGAAUCUUAAUUUUGUGAUUGAGUGCACUAGAAAUAUAUUCUUUGUGGCUAUCACUUAAGGGAAUAACAAUAAGCCUGCAGCUAGGUAUUUCUAAGGUGGUUAUCACCUUGGGAUCUAAGAUAAACAACCAAAUACUUUGCACUUACUUUAAAGUUUUUCAUACAUGAGUUCAAAGCUGUUUAUUCAUAUUAAUUAAAUCCUCAUACACAUAUCUCUGUAGAUACAUACUCUGAAUCAGGCAGAAAAGGGACUAGAAUGUGGGUCUCCCCCAUCCCACUCAAAUGCCUUAACCACUAGGCUACUGCGGUCAUUUUUUUGUGUGAAAAGUUUCAAAUUGGUUUCGCUUUCAUGUUGCAUUAGAAUGAAAACAAAUGUCAAAACCUCCAAAUUUCCCCCAGAAGAGAAUUGGUGUAUUUCCAGUCAGCCCUAAUAAAUACAGCUAGGUCACUGGGCACCUGUUCAUUUUAAAUGUUGCUCGCAGAGGCCCCAAUUCAGCCGGUACUUCUGCAUGUGUGACACUUCCUAAGGUGCACAAAUCUUUUACAAACUUUUAUUAAACAAUUUGACUGAUAACUUGAAAAAUGUUGCUAACCUUAUGUACUCAUGUACCAUGCCUUAAAAUAGAUUUUUGGAAAAGAUUUGAAAUAUCAACUCUCAAUCACUCCAUUACAUCAGAAAUCUAAAACAAAACAUAUGUUUCUAAAACUAAAGACCAAGAACCAAAUUUUUCCCUUGUGUGUCACCCUGUGCAGCCCCCCUGAUUUCACUGGGCAGCACAGGCUGUUAAGUCAGGGCAGAAUGUGGCCAGGAGAGCUGUAUUUUUUUUUCUUGCCUAGAAAACGAGGGAUAGGAUAUGUAAUCUGAACAUUGCAAGUUAAGACUUAAGGAGUUUCAGAAGCAUUUUUCCCUGUGCAGGGAAGAUUUUAUAAUCAUAUAGGAAGAAACAGGGAAGGUGGACUUUAUCCUGCAAUGAUGUAGAAUAUUAACAUAGAAAUGCAGUUCCUAAAUCUCUGGGCCUUCCAUAUGGACAGGUGGAUGCUUUUCUCUGCUCAUCAGCGUCCUCUUGCCAUGGCUCACUCAAGAACCAUGCUUCUAUGUGCUUCCUUUCCCUGUGUGCCACACUUCUUCCUUUUUCUAGUGGGAUAGGUUGUAGAGGGACACCAUCACAUCUUGUGAAAAUAUCCACUUGGAAAUCCACUUGGUUUUGAGGGACACUAUUCAAAGAGCUCCUGUCUUCACCAAUCACCAGGUCUCACAAGUCUAUGAAACCUCAACUGCAUGUCCUUGAAGAGGAAUCUGCAGGCUCAGGGGAAGCAUUCUGUAUUCACUCUGCUCCCCGUUCUGUAGAUCUAGGACCCUUAUGGCUUUUUUCUGGUUUAUUUGCACCUCUCCCUACUUACAUUUGAGGAGAGCAUAGGACACUAACUAAAACCCUCAGAAAUACUAUAACACAGCAUGAGACUAUGAUGACCCAGUUUCUUGUUUGAGGGAGAAGUCCUCCAAAAACCUUCUGCAGUGUUGUAUAGCUUAAGACACCUUUUGUAUGUGUAAAAAUGUUGGCAAGUGGCUUGUUACCUGUGAAUGCUGUAUAUAAUUAAACUCUUCGUAAA